UCUCUUUCUCUUUCUCCUAGCAGUGAGCUGUCUGAGUGAAUUCUCCUUGCUCAUGUGAUGGAGGGGAGGGAACACAGUCAACUGGGGUUGAACAAGAGGAAGAGUCUGUUCCCUUCGUGGACAGUAACGGAAAGAGAGGCCAGCUCAUAUACCAAGGAGGACUGGUUCAGCAUGGAGUCCCCUUAUUUUCUGCCUCUGCUUGCAUCUCUACAGAUAUUUUUCCUGUGUGGGUCACCUGCAGACCUCCCUGCACCCCCCAAACUCUCUGUGAGCCCAGAGAAAAUGGAAUAUCUCAUCGGAGACACUGUUUCCUUCCAAUGUGUGGCUCCCACUUCAAAGGACAAGAUACAGAGCUUUCAGUUCUCAGGGACAGCUGGAUGGGCUGUGGACAUUCGGACCUCCAGGAAAGCCUACACCUACACCUUCAACAUCACAGGGCCAAAGGAUGGUGGGUCACACACAUGCAGAUAUACUGUGAUAAAUCGUCUCCUUAGAUCAGUCCAGUCUAAGGAAAGCAAAGCAAUCAUCAUCAGUGUCAAAGACCCUCCACCCCCUCCCACACUUUCUCUGAACACUUCCAGGGGAGUUGUGAGUGAGGGCUACCCCCUCCUCUUCGUCUGCACAGCUCCUGGAAACACAGUGGAGCAUAGGUUUCACUUCUACAAAGAAGGAGCUGAGGUCAUCCCUGGAUCUGAGGUCAAAUCAUCAGAGACGAGCGCUCAACUCUGCAUCCCACAGAGCAGUCAGAAUCACACGGGGAAUUUUACUUGUGCCUACGAGGAGAAAGUAGAGGAGAGGUGGAUCCUGUCCUUUGUGAGCAGUGUUGUGACUGUCUUUGUGAAAGAGCCUCCUUUCGCUCCUGAACUGCGAGUGGAUCCUUCCUCUGCUGUGGUGACUGAAGGCUACCCCUUACGUUUCACCUGCAUUGCCUUCAGGGAUGACUCAAGGCUGAGAUUUCACUUCUACAGGGAUGGGGUUGAGAUUUCACCAGGACAGGGAGGCUCAGAGAUCACUGCCAUGAACCCUGGGAAUUUCACUGAGCUCCUGUUACCGCAGACUCCAAGGAGGUUCAGUGGGAAAUUCACUUGCGGAUUUGAGGAGGAUGUGGGCGGGACGUGGGUGCCAUCACCCCAGAGCAAGGUUCUGGAGGUCACUGUGAAGGAUCCCCCUGCUCAGCCAGAGCUGAUCUUGAACCCCCCCUCUGGAGAAGUGAGGGAAGGGGACCCCUUACUUAUCACUUGUGUAGCCUAUGGCAUUAGCAGCGAAUGGAAGUUUUACUUCUAUAAAGACGGGACAGAACAAUUCUCAGAGGCUUGCACAAGGAACCAUUCUUUCUUCAGCAUCCCAGCAGCUGAACCAACUGUGACAGGGCAAUUCACCUGCAGGUACGAGGAGAGAGUCAGUGGGAAGUGGAUCCCAUCACCCCUGAGCCAAGCAAUGAUGGUCACCAUGCAAGCCUCAUCUCUACCCAUCCCAUUGGUGACUGGAUGCGCAGCUGCUGCAGCUGUUAUAGUCCUGGUGUUGCUGCUGGCUGUCUGUAUCUGCCAGAGGAGGAGAGGCCGUGUUCACUGGAAGGGGCUCCACAACAAAGAUGACACAAGUGCUUAUCCUCUGGCCCUGGUCAGUUAAACUGGUAUUUGAUCUCAGGAGUGCCUGGCACAUAUCUUUGCUCAAAAAAUGCACUCAUUUUCAGCCUCUUCUCCACCUCAGUGGAGCAAAAAAGAAGACAAAAGGAAAGAAAAGGAUUGUUUCUAUUCUUCUUUGCUUUGAACAUUGAAGCCAGAGUUCACUUUGUAAAUGCCCCUGUCCAGCUGGUCAGUAAAUCUCUCUUCAAGUCCACCAAUGUUUCUUUCUCUCAUUCCCUUCCGCCAUCUUUCUCAGCCUGAUAGA
rnacentral:lncRNA from 1 species